CUCUUCUUCUCUUGAGGCAGUCGAAACCCUAGGAGAGGCACAACAAAGGCACAGGCGCAGGCGCCCCUCAGCCGUGCGGCGGCCUGGCCCUUGGGUGCGGCAGCUCGAUCGGCCUUCCAGUCCUGGCCGGCCAGCGGCAGGCCACACGAAGGAGCAGCCAGCGUGUGUGCUUUCUAGGUGUUGAAGUGGGGCGCCAGAUCUGGAGUAUCGAGGAGCUGCAGUGCGGGAUGAGAUCAGAGGAGCGGUGCCGGACCUGAAACAGAGCUGCGACGGCACAUCGUUCAAAUUUGAAUGUGCAAAACUGCGGUCGCUUUAGUAAACUAGUACUGGCUGGUUCAACAUAUAGAUUAAGUUGAUCGGCAUUGGAAUAUUCCAAAGCUUUUGCUAAUUUAUUUAUUAGUGGA